GAGUUUGAUCCUGGCUCAGAGCGAACGCUGGCGGCAGGCUUAACACAUGCAAGUCGAACGGACCCUUCGGGGUUAGUGGCGGACGGGUGAGUAACACGUGGGAACGUGCCCUUAGGUUCGGAACAACACAGGGAAACUUGUGCUAAUACCGGAUGUGCCCUUCGGGGGAAAGAUUUAUCGCCUUUGGAGCGGCCCGCGUCUGAUUAGCUAGUUGGUGAGGUAAAGGCUCACCAAGGCUACGAUCAGUAGCUGGUCUGAGAGGAUGGCCAGCCACAUUGGGACUGAGACACGGCCCAAAACUCCUACGGGAGGCAGCAGUGGGGAAUCUUGCGCAAUGGGCGAAAGCCUGACGCAGCCAUGCCGCGUGGAUGAUGAAGAUCUUCGGGUCGUAAACUCCUUUCGAUCGAGACGAACGGCCCUCGGGAUAACACCCUGAGGGAGUGACGGUACCGAGAGAAGAAGCCCCGGCUAACUCCGUGCCAGCAGCCGCGGUAAU
rnacentral:rRNA from 1 species